AGAAAGUUAGAAGAUCUUAUAAUAGUGUGAGGAGGGGUAGUAAUUUGUUACAUAGGAUCUAAUGCAGUCCACCGCAUCAAUUGUUUUUGGGAUAUGAACACAUCGACCGAUCCCUCGUGCAUACCAUCAUAUGAGAAAUAUGUAGCUAGCAAUAGUUGAUAUCAAAAUGCUUUCAAGAUGCUUAUGGGAUGGGUAGUAGUAGAUAGUAUAGUCUCAUCAUCAGAAUCUGCAUCAUUCAAGUAUCUUGAUGCAAUAUGAUAAAUCUAUCAAAGAUAGCUUCUUUUUCUGUUCUGCAAUAGGUGAAGGAAAACAAUCAGUAUUCUACAUGUCAAAAAAAAGCAGCACUAAAUUUAUUUCAUAUACAUGUAGCAUGUUGGCGCUCAACUCUUAAGAGAAGAGAAAUUCAACCUAAACAUUAAGGCAUCAAGACGUAGCGCAUGACCAAAUAACUUAACUAUUAGGUAUAUCAUGUAAAAAAUAUUCAAUGUUACAAAAAAAAUCCAGGGUUGACCAGCACAGCUUAAAUAAUUCUAUCAAACAAACUACAAAUAGUAUUGAAGACAAGAAGGAAGGAACCAAUAAAAAUAUCUAUUUUAACAUAAGUAUAUGCUUACAUAUCAUGUAUACAAUGUAAAAGAGUAUAACAUCUAAAUGGAAAGUUAUUCACCUCACAUUUCCAAAUGUCCAUACCAACCGAAGGACCAUAUCUUGCAAGUUGGGAGUAUGGAGCAGAAUGGAAAUUCAAUUACCUGUCUAAGAAAGUGAAGUGGACAAUUCAAGUUAAUCUUUAAAGAACAAAAUCUAAGAGGAAUGCACUUUGGAUGGCAUUCAUUGGUGCUAGGAUGUAGUUAUAUGAAAAGGGGAAUAAAAAUGGGAUUCAGAGAAUCAGACAAGACGCAUACAUAAAAAUUGGAAUAAAAAUGGGAUGUAAUUAUAUGAAAAGGGGAGUCUGAGUAUCGGACAAGAUGCAUAUAAACAUUGGAAUUUAACCCCCAAAAUACUAACCAAAACAGAUAAACACCAAGAAGUGAGACAACAAUCCGCUUACAUCUUCAAACACCUUCCCUACACAAAAGCUCUGCAAUGUCUUGACAUACAGAACUAUGCAUUGUCUUGAUAUACAGAAUUUACCAAAGUGACUUGUGUCCUCAGUCGUCAGAUCGCGGCGUUGAUGCCCGAGAUUGGCUGGUCGUUGUACCAAGUAUCGUUACACCAUUUUUAGGGUCCCAACGCAUGUCACGGUCUGCCAUAUUAAAAGGGAUGCUGCUACCGAAACUGAUCUGGCUGUUCUGUCAUCGACUGGCCGCAAAAAAAACUGUGUACGAGAGGCCUGGGCAUAACAAUUGAGAACUAACAUCUCUUCCAAGCAGGUGGCCACCAUUUUUAUGGGCUUCUUUGUGUGCUUGAGCCAGGCAGCCUGACGUGGAACGACUGCUGCUCUAGAAGCCUAUUUCUGUGGCCUUUCCAUUCACUCGACCAACGCGUGUUUUCUGGUUACUAUAAUAACUGACCAUGAUAAAAACUCACUAAAAAAGCUGAUCUAAAAUAUAACCAGACUAUUAGCAUUCUCCCCUGUAUCUUUGAGCCAGCGAAAAUUAUGUCGUUCACAUUCUGUGUCCGCUCAAUGCAAAUGAAAAUUCCCUGCCCCAUCGAAUCAUUCAGUCAUGUGACCAGCGAUAGAAUGAUGGUGAUGAAGCUUCAGUUCCAGAAUCACAAUUGAAGCAAAGAACAGGGCUGAUGGAGAAACUUUUAGUUCUGGGACUACCACGCCAUCAUUCUUGGUCUGCAAAUGCAAAUGGAACAUUCUUAUACUAUAAUCAGAUAGUUUGAAGUGUAUUUGCUACUUGCUAGAUUCUUCUACUUAAAAUUUAUUUAUUUUACUUUUGAUGAUGAUUCUAACAUCUGUUUAACAGUUCCUUGGUGGUAUUUCCAGCAGCUCCAUCCAAUCCAAUCCAACUAUAACCGCAUUAAUAUUACACCAUAUAUAUUUGUGUGGCUUAAUCCAUUUAUAUUCGAUGCCAUCCUAAUUUAUUUUGGAUGUUACACAUUAAGAAUUUAUGUCAGCUCACCAAACAUAUGGGGAAUGAUUGAUGCAAUACUGUCUAUUUUUUUUACAAACUAACUUUGAACAAGAAGUGUAACCCAAACCAUGUCCUUUUCACAUAUCCGUGUCGUUCAACUAUACUCAAAUAUUUGCAUUGUUCUAUUGACAUGAUAGACGGGCGCGGCAACACGUGCAUUCAUGUUCUAGUGUCUUCACAUACAGAACAACCUAUCUAAUAAGUUUACCUCUUCAGAUCAUGGUCAAACUAUACAGAAUUGUCUCCAUCUCUUCCAAUAAUUGGUGUCAGAGGAUUCACAAACAGCAUGAGGCCUGAUCCACGGAGAAAGUUGAAAUAAAGUCCAAAUUAGUGCUUUGAGAUUUCAUCCACCAGUACAAUGGGGCAGAUGAGUAGAGGCCUAGUGUUCGAGGAGAGUAGGGGAGCUAGGAGGGAAUUUCACACGAGCUCACCAACAACAGUUCUGAAGCAUCAUGACAAUGAGGAGAAGACGAUUUGAUGCAAUAGAUGAGGGAGACAG
rnacentral:lncRNA from 1 species